rnacentral:tRNA from 1 species
ACCUCCUUUCUAGGWGGUUCUUCAGAAGCUUGCUUCUAUCGAACCGUUUUAGAAACAUCAGUGGCCAACGAUCGUCAGGAUUGUUGAGCUGCAUUGGCGGGAUUUCGCCGUCUUCGUUUCUCUUUCUUCGCGGACGAACACGCGCUGGGCCUGCGAGAGCAGGGUCCCUGGUCCUUGACGGGAUAUGCGUUAGGGGCUUGUAGCUCAGUUGGUUAGAGCGCGCGCUUGAUAAGCGUGAGGUCGGAAGUUCAAGUCUUCCCAGGCCCACCACACUCAUCGGGUAAGCAUUCGUCUUCUGGUUACGGGGCCAUAGCUCAGCUGGGAGAGCGCGUGCUUUGCAAGCAUGAGGUCGUCGGUUCGAUCCCGUCUGGCUCCACCAGAUGGUUUGAUCACCGAGGCUGUGUUUGCAGGUAUUCAACCGUCGUCCGCGAAACAUCACUUCGCACCUGCUAGUCUGGAUAGACAGUAAGGUGCGUGAUUUCUGACAUCGUAAAGAGGAGAUCGAUCCGAGUUGGAUCGGGCAGCAAGCAAUUGCUGCGCGAACCUUCAUUAUCUCCGGAUCAUUUCGGCGCUCGCGCGCCUUUCAAUGCGGCUCACAAGGCUGCGUCUGAAGGGAAUGCGGGUUGUAAAUGAUCCUUUUAGCGAAGCUUGACCGCCUCGCUAUCGGAACGAUCUUACGAAGCAAGCUGGUCUUUCUAAUCAUUGUCCGGCUGUACGUAGCGUUCAUCGAGGGCGCGUGCCGUAAGGCAAUCGUACAGACAACAUUCUGCCGAGUGUGUGGACAUUGAUAAUGAGAGCAAUCAAGUGCCUWAGGGUGUUCGGUGG